UACGUAGGGUGCGAGCGUUGUCCGGAAUUAUUGGGCGUAAAGAGCUUGUAGGCGGUUUGUCGCGUCUGCCGUGAAAGCCCAGGGCUUAACCCUGGGUCUGCGGUGGGUACGGGCAGACUAGAGUGUGGUAGGGGAGACUGGAAUUCCUGGUGUAGCGGUGAAAUGCGCAGAUAUCAGGAGGAACACCGAUGGCGAAGGCAGGUCUCUGGGCCACUACUGACGCUGAGGAGCGAAAGCAUGGGGAGCGAACAGG
rnacentral:rRNA from 1 species